CCUACGGGAGGCAGCAGUAGGGAAUAUUGCUCAAUGGGGGAAACCCUGAAGCAGCAACGCCGCGUGGAGGAUGAAGGUUUUCGGAUUGUAAACUCCUUUUGUUAGAGAAGAUAAUGACGGUAUCUAACGAAUAAGCACCGGCUAACUCCGUGCCAGCAGCCGCGGUCAUACGGAGGGUGCAAGCGUUACUCGGAAUCACUGGGCGUAAAGAGCGCGUAGGCGGGAUAGCAAGUCAGAUGUGAAAUCCUAUGGCUUAACCAUAGAACUGCAUUUGAAACUGUUAUUCUAGAGUAUGGGAGAGGUAGGUGGAAUUCUUGGUGUAGGGGUAAAAUCCGUAGAGAUCAAGAGGAAUACUCAUUGCGAAGGCGACCUGCUAGAACAUAACUGACGCUGAUGCGCGAAAGCGUGGGGAGCAAACAGGAUUAGAUAUCCCAGUAGUC
rnacentral:rRNA from 1 species